UGAUUAGAUUGUGCCCAACAGAUGAGAAG
rnacentral:piRNA from 1 species